AGUGAACGCUGGCGGUAGGCCUAACACAUGCAAGUCGAACGGCAGCACAGUAAGAGCUUGCUCUUACGGGUGGCGAGUGGCGGACGGGUGAGGAAUACAUCGGAAUCUACUUUUUCGUGGGGGUUAACGUAGGGAAACUUACGCUAAUACCGCAUACGACCUACGGGUGAAAGCAGGGGAUCUUCUGACCUUGCGCGAUUGAAUGAGCCGAUGUGGGAUUAGCUAGUUGGCGGGGUAAUGGCCCACCAAGGCGACGAUCCGUAGCUGGUCUGAGAGGAUGAUCAGCCACACUGGAGCUGGGACACGGUCCAGACUCCUGCGGGAGGCAGCAGUGGGGAAUAUUGGACAAUGGGCGCAAGCCUGAUCCAGCCAUACCGCGUGGGUGAAGAAGGCCUUCGGGUUGUAAAGCCCUUUUGUUGGGAAAGAAAAGCAGCAGGUUAAUACCCCGCUGUUCUGACGGUACCCAAAGAAUAAGCACCGGCUAACUUCGUG
rnacentral:rRNA from 1 species